AUGAACGCUGGCGGCGUGCCUAAUACAUGCAAGUCGCGCGAACAGACGAGGAGCUUGCUCCUCUGACGUUAGCGGCGGACGGGUGAGUAACACGUGGAUAACCUACCUAUAAGACUGGGAUAACUUCGGGAAACCGGAGCUAAUACCGGAUAAUAUAUUGAACCGCAUGGUUCAAUAGUGAAAGACGGUUUUGCUGUCACUUAUAGAUGGAUCCGCGCCGCAUUAGCUAGUUGGUAAGGUAACGGCUUACCAAGGCAACCAUGCGUAGCCGACCUGAGAGGGUGAUCGGCCACACUGGAACUGAGACACGGUCCAGACUCUUACGGGAGGCAGCAGUAGGGAAUCUUCCGCAAUGGGCGAAAGCCUGACGGAGCAACGCCGCGUGAGUGAUGAAGGUCUUCGGAUCGUAAAACUCUGUUAUUAGGGAAGAACAAAUGUGUAAGUAACUAUGCACGUCUUGACGGUACCUAAUCAGAAAGCCACGGCUAACUACGUG
rnacentral:rRNA from 1 species